rnacentral:rRNA from 1 species
GGGGACCUACGGGAGGCAGCAGUGAGGAAUAUUGGUCAAUGGGCGGGAGCCUGAACCAGCCAAGUCGCGUGAGGGAAGAAGGUACUGAGUAUUGUAAACCUCUUUUGCCUGGGGACAAAGGCGGCCACGGGUGGCCGUAAGGGGGUACCUGGAGAAAAAGCAUCGGCUAACUCCGUGCCAGCAGCCGCGGUAAUACGGAGGAUGCGAGCGUUAUCCGGAUCUAUUGGGUUUAAAGGGUGCGCAGGCGGUGUGUCAAGUCAGCGGGAAAAUGACGGGGA